UACGGAGGGGGCUAGCGUUGUUCGGAAUUACUGGGCGUAAAGCGCGCGUAGGCGGCUUUGUAAGUCAGAGGUGAAAUCCCGGGGCUCAACUCCGGAACUGCCUUUGAAACUGCAUCGCUUGAAUCCGGGAGAGGUGAGUGGAAUUCCGAGUGUAGAGGUGAAAUUCGUAGAUAUUCGGAAGAACACCAGUGGCGAAGGCGGCUCACUGGACCGGCAUUGACGCUGAGACGCGAAAGCGUGGGGAGCGAACAGG
rnacentral:rRNA from 1 species